rnacentral:tRNA from 1 species
GGAGGUAAAGGGAGGUUCCCCCUUUUCCGGUUCAGGGGGAACCGGAAGAAAUUGAGUAAUAG